AUUUAAUUUGGUGGAUUUAGCUGGAUCUGAAAAUAUUUCAAACACGACAGAUGACAAAAAGACGUUGAUCGAGUCUCGAUCAAUAAAUUCUUCACUACAUCAUCUGAACCAUGUUAUACGUUCACUAGCAAAUCCUAAAGUAUACGUGCCUUAUCGGAAUUCUACCAUUACAUCGGUACUUAAAGAUUCACUAGGUACUGAAUGUGCUACCGCGAUGAUCAGCACUGUAGUAUUGAAUCACCGAUGCAUCGCAGAGUCGAUCUCUACUUGCCAAAAUUCUAAAGAAGUAUCGGCAAUAAAAUACCGAGUCCCAGAAAAAAAAAAGAUAAAUGAGAAAAAACAGUACAAGGUUAUAGAGUUAAAUGACGUUUUAUUAAAAGAAAAAGAACAUGACAUGUCUGGAGGUUUUCAUAGCAAAGUGAAAGAAAACAAGAUAGUCUUAGAGGAUAAAACAACCAAUACAGAGAACAACGAGUAUUUGAUAAAUGAGUCAAUUGACACACCCGCGUGUUAUAUGACAAGUUAAAAGACGAUGGAAUUUGUAUGAAUGUAACGUAUGACGUUCAUGAUGAUCGAUAUAAACUGGAUGAUUUUGCCAUCGGUGACGGUUUCUGCGUUCCGGUGGUCGACGUGACGGCUCUACCCGUUAUGGAAUUCGGCGAUGGAAUUAAUGAUACUCAUGAUAAUUCGAAGAUGACUAAGGUUCACGACAUGUUACCACUCUUUGUGGAAUGCGGGAUCGGAACUGAGGAUAUCUUAGUUACCCAGUCAGAACAUGAUGAUAAAAACAUAUAUACGCCAUUAAAAAACUCGUUAAUUAAUCGAGCCUCUAAUUUUUACUGGGGACAUUAUAAAAUGAUUCAAUUAAUAUUGAUAACGAUAAUUUUAAUGUUGAAUUCGCAUUUUUUUAUAUCGACAGUAGGAUUUGACAU